CGCAUCUGUGCAUGCAGCAUAUCAAUAAGCGGAGGAAAAGAAACUAACAAGGAUUCCCCUAGUAACGGCGAGUGAAGCGGGAAGAGCUCAAAUUUGAAAUCUUAAAGGGUUUCCCUUUACGAAUUGUAGUUUAAAGAAGUGUUUUCUGUUGAGGUUUUGGUAAAAGUUCUUUGGAAUAGGACAUCAUAGAGGGUGAGAAUCCCGUAUUUGACCUUUACUUUCAACUUUGUGAUACACUUUCAAAGAGUCGGAUUGUUUGGGAACGCAGUCCAAAAUGGGUGGUAAAUUUCAUCUAAAGCUAAAUAUUGGCGAGAGACCGAUAGCGAACAAGUACCGUGAGGGAAAGAUGAAAAGAACUUUGAAAAGAGAGUUAAACAGUACGUGAAAUUGUCAAAAGGGAAGCGUUUGACACCAGUGUUGUUUUUCUGAAAAUCAAUUAAAGAACUGUUUAUGCUAAGUUGUUUAGACUUUAUCAGCUAACUGUUUAGUUUUGAGCUUUUCUUUAAUGCACUUUUCAGUUAACAAGUCAACAUCAAUUUCUUUUGCUGUAAAAAAGCUUGAGGAAGGUGGCUUGAGAUUCGUCUUAAGUGUUUAUAGCCUCUUGCCUAUGCAGUCGGAGAGAUUGAGGUCUGCAGCGUAGAUCCUUCGGGGCUAAAUGCAUUUGUGCUAAGUUAUAACAUUUUAUAGACAACUUGUUGACUAUGAUUUGUCUUGUAGCUUACUCGCUUAUGUUAUUUUACCUACGCUUAGGAUGUUGAGCGCAUGUCUCUCUCU
rnacentral:rRNA from 1 species